rnacentral:rRNA from 1 species
UACGUAGGGUGCGAGCGUUAAUCGGAAUUACUGGGCGUAAAGCGUGCGCAGGCGGUUCGUUGUGUCUGAUGUGAAAGCCCCGGGCUUAACCUGGGAAUGGCAUUGGAAACUGCACGGCUAGAGUGUGUCAGAGGGGGGUAGAAUUCCACGUGUAGCAGUGAAAUGCGUAGAGAUGUGGAGGAAUACCGAUGGCGAAGGCAGCCCCCUGGGAUAACACUGACGCUCAUGCACGAAAGCGUGGGGAGCAAACAGG